CUUUCCUCUUCUCUCUCUUUUCAUUUUUUUUUUCUCUCAGCGUCAAAUAUUUUUCAAUCUAAUUUUUUUUUCCGCUUCAUAUAUUCUUGGCGAGGGUUUCAAUUUCCAAUUUGCUUUUUUUAAUUUUUUCAUGUAGGCAUUCAUAUAACCCGUAACACAUCAAGGGAUUUUUUCGAAGAUCCGUUACAGGUUUCAAGAAUGCCUUCAUCGGAUAAUCACAGUUCCGCCAUUCCGUUCGCCUCCUUUCGCCGCUCAAUCAUGACUAUAAGAACCGAUCAAAUCCACUCCGAAUCAAGCCAAGAUUCGAACAUCCAAAACCUAGAUUCUUUCCAAAGACAAAUCUUCGCCCGUUUUCACGACCUCUCAAUCGUAAAUGCCACCGAAUUCCUCUCGAUUUCUUGGAUACACAAACUCCUAGACUCGUUCACUCUCACCCAAGAAGAUUUCCGAACCCUACUCUCCGAAAACAAAACCCUCCUCCCCAAACCGCCCUCCGACCGCCUAGUCACCGAAUACUUCGACCGAGCAAUCAAAGCAAUGGACAUCUUCAACUCCGCUCGCGACGGAGUUGAAACAAUCCGCCUAUGGCAGAAGCAUCUCGAAAUUGUCGUAACAGCCCUCGACUUCACUAAACAAAAAACAAUAACCGAAGGGCAUUUUCGUCGCGCAAGAAAAUCGUUAAUGGACUUAGCUCUCCUAAUGCUCGACGACAGAGAAACGGGCUCGGUUUUCUCCAACCGAAACCGAUCGUUCGGCCGUAACAAGGGCAAAGAUCACCAGCGGGCCCCAUCUUCGGGCGGACACUCGAGAUCACUUUCUUGGAGUGUGUCCAAUUCUUGGUCGGCUUCGAAGCAGCUCCAAUCUAUAGCAAACAAUUUGAUCCCUCCACGCGCUAACGAAAUCGCUUCGACCAAUGGGAUCGCGACACUUGUCUUCUCCAUGAGCUUUAUCCUCAUGUUCGUCUUGUGGGUUCUCGUCGCUGCAAUUCCUUGUCAAGAUCGAGGUGUGCAAGUCCAUUUCGUGAUCCCUAGGCAAUCGACGUGGAGUACGCCGUUUUUCUUGAUCCAAAGUAGGGUUGUGGAGGAAUCGAAGAAGAGGGAUCGGAGAAAUUCGAGCGGUUUGUUGAAGGAGAUUUACGAGAUUGAGAAGUGUGUGAACAAGAUGAGCGAUUUGGUGGAUUCAGCGCAGUUUCCGAUUUCGGAGGGAGCGAAGGAGGAAGUGAGGGAGAGCGUGAGCGAGUUGUCUUCGGUUUGUGAUGUUUGUAAGAGUGGAUUGGAUCCCUUGGAAAGGAAGUUACGGGAAACCUUCCGGAAGGUUAUGCAUUGUCGGACGGAGGGUCUUGAGUUUCUUGGAAAGGCUACCGAACCUUGAUAAUGGAGGAAGAAAAUAAAUUUGCAAAUAUUAUAUAAAUUGCAUUAGUUUCUUUUUUUUUUACGUCUCGAUUUAAGGGUGACUCUCGCCGAUGGUGAUGAAUUUUAUCAGGUUUCUUUCGAAGGGUUGUUUUAAUGUUGGACCUAAAAAAAGAAAAAGAAAAAAAGAAUGAAGGAAUGAAUCAAAGGUUAGAGAAUCCUGUGAGAUUAUUCCUGGCAUAAAGCUGGCAAAGAAAACUACAUGUAAUUGUGUGCUUCAUUCUUGCAACUUGUGUACUUAGCUGUAUUUUUGUUUAAUUUGUUGAAAAAGAAAUUUAUUUAUUUAUUUAUUUAAAGAAAAUUGGAGUUGAAUUUUGUGUGUGUGUGUGUGUGUGAGAGAGAGAGAGAGAGAGAGAGAGAGAGAGAGAGAGAGAGAAUAGAACAUUAUCAAGAAAAUGUUUGCUGCACAUGACAUUCUUUUGUCAAUUAUUAUAGUGUAAUUAUUAUUUUUUUUUUAAU